rnacentral:lncRNA from 1 species
AUUUCUGGGAUCUUUUAUUUCAGUUCAUGAAACAUGGAAACAACACUUUACAUCUUGUGUUUAGUAUAGAUGGGUGUACAUAAUAAACUGGCCACUGAGUGUAUAGUUACCACUAGGAAAUAUAAUAUGCCUUCACAGUAUUGAAAUACACACCAAUUAAAUAUCCCUUGCACUAAGGUAAGGUAUAAACAAAAACAACCAUUGUACAGUUUUAUUAUUGUAUUUUAAGAGGAAGACAUCUCAACUCGGUUUCAAUAAAAACUCAAGUUCCUGUCUGGAAAAUGAACAAAACACAAUCCUCGAUCAACCCAGACCGGCCUUAGGCUAAUAACAUACAGACAUACAUCUCUGUAUGUUCGUUGGUCUGAGGGUAGCUAAUUAUACGAGCAGGGUCUAUCUGCAGACUGCGUUUACUAUAUGCUGUGCCCACUACGCUUCACUUACUACAUGCCACGCCCCCUGCGACGCCGUUGAGGCUGCUACACCGGCACGCACUGUCGUUCACCCCCGCCUGCUAGCAUGUACCAGGUAGUGUCACGCAGGAAUAGGGUUGGCUGCGCAAGCUACUUCCCAUAACGUUAACAGAACUGCGGGAAAGCAGUGCUUGGCAGGCGGGGGCGAAGGACACUACCAGUUCCCCCUAGCCUAGCUAGCAGCCUCCUCAUUCGUUGGGGUGAUUGGCAUCCAACGUUGGUGCAUUAACGCCACCUACUGUGCUGGAGUGUGGGCCAGAGACGGCGCUAGCUACACUGCCACAGAUAAAAGCUUUGUUACAUACAUCUUGAACAACUUUGAUAGGUGAGGAAGAUGGCGGAAACUGAGUUUGUUGGUGUUUUCAAUUUGAAUUUGUUCGGCGAAGGGAAAUGGCGGCGAGUAGUGCAGAUUAAAGUGGGGAAAUUGAGAAAAAGAUGGUGACGCAACAGCUGUGCUGGAAUGUGAACAAUAUGGAUGAUACUUCGAGAACACAAACUCGCAUCUUUCACAGCAAAGGGCGAGGGAGUCCAGGGGAUGACUGGAGGAGCAAUGGCGGAAAUAUUUUGCGAUUCUCUUGGCCUAAGUACAGUUGGUGAGAAUGAGUGGACGUUGGUGAAAAAGAGGAGAUUGAAAAGGGCUAAAGUUGGAAAUGCACAGCAGUUUAUGGUUUCAGUGCGAUUCACAAAUUGUUUUUUGGGGUGACCUGUUUGCUGUCUCAAAGAUGGUGAAGUGGAAUCGGUUCGAGUGACCAGGAGCGGUAUGAUGCUGAGGUUCAUUUGUGUCAACAGCGCAAAAGUAGGUGGCUCCUGUAAUACCUGCAUGCUUCAAGCAGACCACCAUAGUCCCUGUGGCCAAGAAAGCGAAGAUAACCUGCCUAAAUGAAUACCGCCCCAUAGCACUCACAUUGGUAGCCAUGAAGUUUUUUGAAAGGCUGGUCAUGGCUCACAUCAACACCAUCAUCCCGGAAACCCUAGACUCACUCCAACUCGCAUACUACCCCAACAGAUCCACAGAUGAUGCAAUCUCAAUCGCACUCCACACUGCUCUUUCCCACCUGGACAAAAGGAACACCUAUGUGAGAACGCUGUUCACUGACUACAGCUCAGCAUUCAACACCAUAGUGAUGAGCUUUGUGGGCACUAAGCUAAGGACCCUGGGACUGAACACCUCCCUCUGCAACUGGAUGCUGGACUUCCUGACGGGUUACCCCCAGGUGGUAAGGGUAGGCAACAACACAUCUGCUAAGCUGAUCCUCAACACGCGGGCCCCUCAGGGUUGCCUGCUUUGUUCACCCACGACUGCGUGCCAAGCACAACUCCAACACCAUCAUUAAGUUUGCUGAUGACACAACAGUGGUAGGCCUGAUCACCUACAAUGAUGAGACAGCCUAUAGGGAGGAGGUCAGAGACCUGGCAGUAUGGUACCAGGACAACAACCUCUCAAUCAACGUGAGCAAGACAAAGAAGAUGAUUGUGAACUACAGGAAAAGGGGGACUGAACACGCCCCCAUUCACAUCGACAAGGCUGUAGUGAAGUGGGUCGAGAGUUUCAAGUUCGUUGGUGUCAACAUCACCAACAAACUUAUGGUCCAAACACACCAGGAAAGUUGUGACGAAGGCAUGACAACACCUCUUCCCCCUCAGGAGACUGAAAAUAUUUGGCAUGGGUCCCCAGAUCCUCAAAAAGUUCCACAGCUGCACCAUCGAGAGCAUCCUGACUGUUAUGGCAACUGCUCGGCCUCCGACCUUAAGGCACUACAGAGGGUAGUGCGUACAGCCCAGUACAUCACUGGGGCCAAGCUUCCUGCCAUCCAUUUUUAAUCAUUCAACCUUUUUGUGUAGUUUUAGGCAGGGAAGCGGGUAAAAUGAAAGAGAUGGUUUGGGAUGAGUUGGACCGCAGAGUGAAGGAAAAGCAGCCAACAAGUGCUCAGCAUAUGUGGGAAAUCCUUCUAAACUGUUGGGGGGAAAAAAAUCCAGGUGAAGCUUGUUGAGAGAAUACCAAGUGUGUGCAAAGUUGUCAUCAAGGCAAAGGGUGGCUACUUUGACGACUCUCAAAUAUACAAUAUAUUUUUAUUUGUUUUUGGUUACUACAUGAUUCAAUAUGUGUUAUUUCAAAAUGUUGAUGUCUUCACUAUUAUUCUACAAUGUAGACAAUAGUAAAAAUAAAGAAAAACCCUGGAAUGGGUAGGUGACCUAACUUUUGACUGGUACUGUAUGUAAACUGUUAAAUAUGUAUAUUAGAAGGGUUAUGGGAAAAGAUGGUGUCAGUAACUCAUUAGGACAGCAGAUUGCACCAGAGGAAAGACGCCUAGUAGAGCUACAGUUGACCAUUUCUUUUGGAUUCAUAUAUAAAAAUAUAUAUAUUUCACCUUUAUUUAACCAGGUAGGCCAGUUGAGAACAAGUUCUCAUUUACAACUGCAACCUGGCCAAGAUAAAGCAAAGCAGUGUGACAAAGAGUUACACGUGGGAUAAACAAAACUACAGUCAGUAACACAAUAGAAAAAUCUAUAUACAGUGUGUGCAAAUGGCAUAAGGGGGGUAAGGCAAUAAAUAGGCCAUAGUAGCGAAGUAAUUACAAUUUAGCAAAUUAACACUGGAGUGAUAGAUGUGCAAGUAGAAAUACUGGUGUGCAAAAGAGGGGGAAAAAGUAAAUAAAAACAAUAUGGGGAUGAGGUAGGUAAUUUGGCCAUUUCUACUGUUUCUUUUGGAUUUAAUUUGCAUGUUGCUACUUAUUUUGUAUUUAGGGAUUUUACCUUUUUGCCAUUCAUAUCACUUGGAACAUAUUUAACCUAAUCUGGAUUACAAUGCUUUCUUUUACCACUUACCAACCUGGAAUCUGUGACAAACAAUGGACAAUUCACUUGUGAGUAAUAAAUACAUUUGAACUGCAACAGCAACUUUCCUUUCGUCUAUGGAAACGCGUAAGGAACCAAAACUGUAUUUAGGCGUUUAUAGAAGUGAGCCUUUUAGCAUCUGGAACUUCAGCCAUAAAUUACUUUGUCUCUAAAGUGUUCCACUGCAUUGUGUGUGUUUCACACCUCUGUUUGUAAAUGUAUGCAGUCACUCUGGAUAAGUGUCUACAAAAUGCUGAACUAGGAUCUGUCCAUAUAAUCCUAUUCACUAUGAUCUAAAAUAGCACUAGUACUCCGAGAUGCUUUGUGGAUACGGGCCCAGAUGUUACUGUGCAAGACAGGUGAGCUUGGAGAAGUCUGGCUAACUUUCUAACUCUUGCAGUAGGCUCUCGUCCCCCACUGGACAUAGGGGAGGAUCGUAUACGCAGGAGUUAGAGACAAACUCUGUAAAUGUCUGAGGGCUGUGAGAUGGUGUGCUAAAAGUCCCCAGCAGGGAAUUGUAACACAAAUUUUAGGCUCGGCGUUAUCUUUUAGUAUACAGUUUUUAUAUUACAGUAAUGUGGUCUAGUAAAAUUUGUCAACUGUAAUGAUGUAUCUUAUAGCACUAUUUAGGGCUCCCAAGUGGCACAGCGAUCUAAGGCACUGCAUCUCAGUGCUAGAGGCGUCACUACAGACACCCUGGUUUGAAUCCAGGCUGUAUCACAACCGGCCGUGAUUGGGAGUCCCAUAGGGCGGCGCACAAUUGGCCCAGCUUCAUCCGGGUUUGGCUGGUGUAGGCCAAGACGUUUACACAGAUCAGACAUGGACAGAGUAUGGUUAGCUCGGUUUCAAGGGUGUUUAUUAAAUAAUAAAUCAAAAGAAAAGGAUAGGUCUCCCCCAUGAGACCCUCUCCGGGAUACCGUCUUCUGGGCUCCGGGUCUGGCUGUAUCCUGUCCGGCACACAAACUCAACUCCCUCGUCUUAGCUCGGGCCCCAUCUCCAACUACACGGAAGUCACCUUACUUCCCCCAGUCCUUUCCUGUGUGUUGCCCUUCUGGCAGCUUUAUGGGGCUUGUACAGCUGGUGAGCAAUCAGCCCUUGAUUACUCACCAACUCCCCAAUCAGCCCCAAUUAGUCCUGGGCAGAGAGCCCGUCGAGACCUGGCACGUCCAGCAGAUGGAGCCAUCGCCUCGAUGUAUACUCCAUCUGUCACCAGGCCUCGACAAGGCUGAUCUGCUGUACUCCACCCCCCCCCCCUUAGCUCUGUCGGGGAGGGGACUGUCGUCAGUGCAACGUACGUCUCCCUUCUCGAUAGGGCAUCCGCAUUUCCACGUUUCGCCCCUGACCUGUGCACAACAGAAAAAGAGAAGCGUUGAAGGGACAAGAACCACCUGGUAACCCGAUCAUUUGUGUCCUUUCCCCUGGCCAUCCAAACCAGGGGAGCAUGGUCCGUGACCAGGGUGAAGUGGGUACCCAACAGGUAAUACUUGAGUGUUCAGUGCCCACUUCACCGCUAGACACUCUUACUCCACAAUGGAGUACCUUUUCUCUCUAGGAACCAGCUUUCUGCUGAUGUACAUGGAGUGCUCCUCCCCAUCGUGUAUCUGGGACAGAACGGCGCCUAGUCCCGUAUCACACGCAUCCAUCUGGACCACCAUCGGCACCUGGAAAUAGGGCGUUACGAGAAUCGGAUGGGAGCACAGCGCUUCCUUCAGACGGCUGAACGCCGCUUCUGUCUCGUUCGUCCAUUUCACUGUUUUCGGGAGACGGGCCCUGGUUAGAUCGGUGAGGGGGGAAGCAAUAGCCGCAAAGUUGGGGAUAAAUCGACUAUAGUAUCCUGCCAGUCCCAGGAAGGACUUGACCUGUGUCUUGGUGAGUGGAACGGGCCAGUUCCACUCCUCUCCUGGGGCUUGACGUUCCCCCGUCCGAUCAAAUACCCCAGGUACUCCACCUCCUCGAAACCUAGUUUGCACUUCUUGGGGUUCGCGGUCAACCUGGUUUGUCUGAGCGCAUCCAGCACCGCCAGGAGGCGCGUCAAGUGCUCUUCCCAACCUUGGCUGUGGAUGAUGAUGUCAUCCAAAUAGGCCGCUGCGUACUGCUGGUGGGGUUGAAGUACUUUGUUCAUCAGCCAUUGGAAUGUGGGCGGGGCUCCGUGGAGACCGAACGGGAGCACCCGGUACUGAUACAACCCGUCUGGUGUCGAAAAUGCAGUCUUCUCCUGGGAGGAGGCUGCCAACGGUACCUGCCAAUAUCCUUUGGUCAGGUCAAGGGUGAUGAUGUACCGGGCCUUUCCCAAUCGGUCGACGAGCUCGUCCACACUCGGCAUGGGAUAUGCGUUGAACAAGCUGUCGUUGUUCACCCCCCGGAAAUCGUUACAGAAGCGGAGGCUACCGUCUGGUUUUGGCACCAACACAAUGGGGCUGCACCAUGCACUGUGGGACUCUUCAAUGACCCCCAUCCUCAGCAUAGCCUCCACUUCCUGCUUCACGGCCUUCCUUCGGGCCUCCGGAAUCCGAUAUGUCGUCUUUCUUACUGUUUCGCCGGGCCGGGUACGGAUGUGAUGUUCAAUGAGGGUCGUGCUGCCUGGCUUCUCGGAGAACACCGCUGUGUUCCGAUCGACAAGCUCACUGAGCUCUUGCUUCUGGGCCGGGUCGAGGUCCUCAUUGCUCGGGACCACCACUGGUCCCGUUGGUGUCCUGGGUCCCGACCAUAAUACGGCCAAGGCUGUCCUCUCGUGCCACUUCUUCAAAAGGUUCACGUGGUAAAUCUGUUGAGGUUUCUGUCUCCCCAGUUGCUGUACGCGGUAAUUGACAGGUCCCAUCUUCUCGACCACCUCGUAUGGUCCGUGACAUGUUGCCAGGAACUUACUUUUGGCCGUGGGGAUUAAGACCAGCACGCUGUCUCCCACCUGGAAUUCUCGGGGCUGGGCUCCCCGAUUGUAGACCUGGGCGCGUUGGGCCUUCUCCAUAUGUUCCCUCACGACGGGCCAUAAGGCUGCAUCCUCUCCCUCAUCGUCUCCACGUGCUCUACCACGCUGCGUAAUGGGGUUGGUUGGGCUUCCCACACCUCCUUUGCGAGGUCCAGUAGGCCACGUGGCCUCCUCCCGUAGAGGAGUUUGAACGGGGAAAACCCAGUGGAGGAUUGGGGUACUUCUCUGAUUGAGAACAUUAGGUGGGGUAGUAGCUGGUCCCAGUUCUUCCCGGUCUGCUCGAUGACCUUCCGCAGCAUCUGUUUGAGCAUUUUAUUAAAGUACUCGACGAGCCCAUCCGUCUGCGGGUGAAAAACAGAGGUCCAGAUCUGCAUGAUCUGCAGGAGGGCACAACUCUCAUGAGGCGGGACAUAAACUCCGUACCUUGGUCUGUCAAGAUCUCGUUUGGGGUGCCCACCCAGCUAAAGAGCUGGAACAGCUCCCGGGCGAUUCCCUUGGAUACCGCCGCCCGUAGGGGAAUGGCCUCAGGAUACAGGGUGGAAUAAUCUACUAAUCACCAGGAUGUACCGGUGUCCUCGUGCUGUUUUUACCAGGGGUCCCACUAUGUCCAUGGUGAUGCGUUCAAAGGGCACCCCGAUGAUCGGUAGGGGGACCAAUGGGCUUCGGAAGUGGGCUUUCGGGGCCGUGAGUUGACACUCCGGGCAGCUGCGACAGUCUUCCACGGCCCUCCUCAUCCCGGGCCAGUGGAACCGGGCGGCGAUCCGUUCCCGGGUCUUCUCCAUUCCCAAGUGCGCCCCCAACAGGUGGGUGUGGGCCAGCUGAAGAACGGUUCCCACAUACCGUCGGGGCAGCAACAAUACCUCUAAGUUCCCCCUGUUGGCAAGACACCUGAUACAAAAGGUUAUUCUUGAUUUGGAAAUGGGGGUAUCGCCAGUCACUCAGCCCCGGAAGUAGCUGUCCAUCCACCGCUAUCACUUGGGCUGCGGCGGCUUUCAAGUUAGGAUCCUCCCACUGGGCUGUCCCGAAUUGUCCCCUCAGUUGGCCCCCAGUGGGGGUCUCGACUGGCCCCUCAAAAUCGAGGGGGAGGCUGGGCUCCUCCUCCAGGGGUUCCCAAGGGGGUUCGGGUUCCGGCACCCCCUCUGACUCCGACUCCGGAGCCGUAGACACCUGCUGGUUAACCGGUUGCUUCUGGUCCGCACAGGCUAUUGGUCGUCCCCACUCUCUUCUUCGGCCGUCUCAUACCUUCUUCCUCAACUCGUGCCCCCAUAGGGCCGCGAACAGCGGACAAUCCCGUUCCACUAGGAGAGGUACAGGCUCUGGCACUGCACCCACCGUCAUCUGGCAGCUCCCUUGUGGCGUCACGAUGUUGGUCCAUACGGUUGGAUACUGCUUUGUGUCACCGUGAACACAGGAAAUGGACAUCUCCCUACACCUUUCGGUCUCCUGAUUCAGCAGGCUCGUGGUUACGAGCGUAACCAUACUUCCGGAGUCCAAUAGCGCUUCCGUGUCGUGUCCGUCAACCUUCACUGGGACCAUGGGUGCAAUUGAGUCGGGGUGCGCCCAACAGGAGGUGACAUAGUUCACGACGUGACCCACCUCGCCUCCGGGGCUUGCUGAUGGCAUCGACUCCUCUCGAGCCGGGCAAUUCCAGGCAAUGUGCCCCCGGGCACCACACUCAAAACACCUCCUUUGGUCUCCAUCUACCUGGGGUCGUCGGUGACGGGUCGAACCUACCCCAGCCGUUUCUUCACGGGUUUGCCCUGAAGAACUGUCGGUGCCGACUGUCGGUUCGGGGUACACUGUGGUGGGGCUGUCCUUCCGUCCCCUCGGACAGGUCGCCGACUCGUCCCGGCUCCCACUCAGCAGGGCCUGCGUAUUAUUAUGCGUCUCCACUGCUUCCAGGAGGCCCUCCAAGGUCUGGGGCGCGCAUAGACUCGCUGCCCUCUUCAUGUCGUGGGGUAGCGCCCGUAAGAAGCGAUCCAGGACUAUUUUGUCGAGGAUGGAGAGGGUGGAUACGUCAGUUAGGAGCCAUGCCCUGGUGACGCGCAGUAGGUCGCUCAUCUGGGCUUGGGGGGGAUGCGUCGGCUACGAACCUCCAGUCGUGGAACCGUUGAGUCCGAUGGGCCAGGCUGUACCCGUAGCGACUGAGUAUCUCCCGUUUGAGUCCGUCGUAAUUAGCCGCCUGUUCGUCGUUCAGGUCCCAAUACGCCUUUUGGGCAUUCCCACAUGUUGCGUUUAUAUUUUUGUUCAGUGUAAAAUUGUCCCAUACAAUAAGGGGAUCCGCUGUAUCUAUGUUAUAUAGGGGAAAAGUAGUAAAUUAUUCUCUUGGUUAAAAACAAUUUGUUGUCCAUUAAGCUUUGAUUUAAAGUUCCAAUAUUCUCACCUUAAUGUAAAUUCUGUAAGUGUAAUGUGUAUACCAAUUAUUUGAUGGUCUGACCGCAUUCUGUCCCUUAUCAACACAACUUUUGGUGCCAGCGACAAUUACAUAAGUAGUCAAGACGACUAGCUUGAUUGAUCCUUCGCCAUGUUUAUCUCACUAGGUCAGGAUAUGUAAGCCUCCAUAUAUCCACUAGUUCAGAUAUAUGCAUAAUAUUCAUAAUUUCUUUAAGAGCAUGAGGGUGAUAUUUUGUAGUGCGACUUCCUUUACAGUCCAUUGAGGUACUUAAAACCGUAUUAUAAUCCCCCACAAUAAUAAUUGAGCCAUGUAUUGCCUGUAAAGUCGAUAAAUUAUAUAGCAUCAUUAUUUGGACCAUAUAGAUUGAGACAAAUCUGUUAAUGGUCCAAUAGCCUAUUUAAAAGGAUCCACCUUCCUUGCGGAUCUGUUUGAACAGUUUGCGCAUUCAGAUCAAACUUCCUGUUAAUUAAUAUCAUCACUCCUUUUGAGUUUCUUUGCCCAUGGGAGAAAUACAUUUUACAACCCGCCCCCCAGUCAUUUUCUUCCAUACAACUUCGUCUAAAAAGGUGUAGAAUGAGUUUCCUGCAAACAAUAGAUAUUAUAUUCCUUCUCUUUUAGCCAGAUAAAGACGGAUCGUCUUGUUAUUAUCUGCAAAGCCAUUACAAUUUUAACUAGCUAUACUUAUUUCACCUCUUACCAUGUUUGUAAACUUACCAUUAAGUACCAUGAUAAUUGAGUGUCCAUAUAGCUGUACCAUAAUAUUUGCACUGUUAAGCAUAUUGUAGCUGCGACUAAGUAAACCUCUAAUUGUCCUUC